rnacentral:rRNA from 17 species
CGAAAGCGUGGGGAGCAAACAGGAUUAGAUACCCUGGUAGUCCAUGCCGUAAACGAUGAUUACUAGGUGUUGGAGGAUUGACCCCUUCAGUGCCGCAGUUAACACAAUAAGUAAUCCACCUGGGGAGUACGACCGCAAGGUUGAAACUCAAAGGAAUUGACGGGGGCCCGCACAAGCAGUGGAGUAUGUGGUUUAAUUCGAAGCAACGCGAAGAACCUUACCAGGCCUUGACAUCCCUUGCAGAGAUAUAGAGAUAUAUCCGAGGUUAUCAAGGAGACAGGUGGUGCAUGGUUGUCGUCAGCUCGUGUCGUGAGAUGUUGGGUUAAGUCCCGCAACGAGCGCAACCCUUGUCCUUAGUUGCCAGCAUUCAGUUGGGCACUCUAAGGAGACUGCCGGUGACAAACCGGAGGAAGGUGGGGAUGACGUCAAAUCAGCACGGCCCUUACGUCCGGGGCUACACACGUGUUACAAUGGCAGGUACAGAGAGACGGUCCCUUGCAAAAUGGAUCAAAUCCUUAAAGCCUGUCUCAGUUCGGACUGGGGUCUGCAACCCGACCCCACGAAGCUGGAUUCGCUAGUAAUCGCGCAUCAGCCAUGGCGCGGUGAAUACGUUCCCGGGCCUUGUACACACCGCCCGUCAAGCCAUGAAAGCCGGGGGCGCCUAAAGUCCGUGACCGUAAGGAGCGGCCUAGGGCGAAACUGGUAAUUGGGGCUAAGUCGUAACAAGGUAGCCGUACCGG